rnacentral:rRNA from 1 species
GAAGAACGCUGGCGGCAGGCCUAACACAUGCAAGUCGAACGAAGUCUUCGGACUUAGUGGCGGACGGGUGAGUAACACGUGGGAACGUGCCUUUAGGUUCGGAAUAACUCAGGGAAACUUGUGCUAAUACCGAAUGUGCCCUUCGGGGGAAAGAUUUAUCGCCUUUAGAGCGGCCCGCGUCUGAUUAGCUAGUUGGUGAGGUAAAGGCUCACCAAGGCUACGAUCAGUAGCUGGUCUGAGAGGAUGACCAGCCACAUUGGGACUGAGACACGGCCCAAACUCCUACGGGAGGCAGCAGUGGGGAAUCUUGCGCAAUGGGCGAAAGCCUGACGCAGCCAUGCCGCGUGGAUGAUGAAGGUCUUAGGAUUGUAAAAUCCUUUCACCGGUGAAGAUAAUGACUGUAGCCGGAGAAGAAGCCCCGGCUAACUUCGUGCCAGCCGCCGCGGUAA